rnacentral:rRNA from 1 species
GACGAACGCUGGCGGCGUGCUUAACACAUGCAAGUCGAACGGAGUGGCGAACGGGUGAGUAACACGUGGGUGCUCUGCCUUGCACUUCGGGAUAAGCUUGGGAAACUGGGUCUAAUACCUGAUAGUGCACGAUGAGCUCGCGGCCUAUCAGCUUGUUGGUGGGGUAAUGGCCUACCAAGGGGUCGACGGGUAGCCGGCCGGAGAGCGUGUACGGCGACAUUGGGACUGGGAUACGGCCCAGACUCGUACGGGAGGCAGUGGUGGGGAAUAUGGCACAAUGGGCGGAAGCCUGAUGCAGCGACGCCGCGUGGGGGAUGAAGGCCUUCGGGUUGUAAACUCCUUUCGACAGGGACGCGGUACCUGUAUAAGAAGCACCGGCUAACUACGUGCCAGCAGCCGCGGUAAUUC